rnacentral:lncRNA from 1 species
CGUCUAUCUUCAGAACUCGAUACAAGUUACGUGAACUCAUUGUCUUCCUGGUUUGUCAUUUCACCAACUAAUUUGCUUACUCAUCACUUGUACAAUUGAAAUAUGGACUCGUUCACUUGUUUGCCUGUCAACUCGUUUACCUGUCGAAUUGCUGACUCUAUGACAUGUCAACUUGUUGACUCAUCGUCAUACGGAACACGACACAAAUAUGGGCUCUUUGAUUAAGUGCCGAUUUCAUAGGAAGGAAGAG